GGCAGCAAAGCACGGCUGUUAGUAACCAGCCUUCACACCACUUGCCCGAAUCUGGUUGAGCUUUUCACCAAGAAAACUCUAUGUGCAAUUGGGGAACCCGAGCCUUAGAGGUGAUGAGUUAUUUCAACAAUUAAAAAAUGUAGAGGGCUUCCCUGGUUCCGAAUCCACCUGCCAAUGCAGGGGACACAGGUCCGAUCCCUGGGCCAGGAAGAUCCCAGAAGCCGCAGAGCAAAUAAGCCCGUGUGCCACAACUACUGAGCCUGAGCUCUGGAGCCUGCAAGCCACAACUACUGAGCCCAAGCACCGCAACUACUGAAGCCCACAUGCCUAGAGCCUGUGCUCCACAGCAAGAGAAGCCACCGCAAUGAGAAACCCGCCCACCACAACUAAGAGUAGCCCCCGCUCACCACAACUAGAGAAAGCCCAUGUGCAGCAAUGC